ACGCACGCUGGCGGCGUGCUUCACACAUGCAAGUCGCACGGAAAGGCCCUGCUUGCAGGGUGCUCGAGUGGCGAACGGGUGUGUAACACGUGGGUGAUCUGCCCCUUACUUUGGGAUAAGCCUGGGAAACUGGGUCUAAUACUGGAUAGGACCAUGCUGUAGGUGGUGUGGUGGAAAGAUUAGUUUCGGUAAGGGAUGAGCUCGCGGCCUAUCAGCUUGUUGGUGGGGUAAUGGCCUACCAAGGCGUCGACGGGUAGCCGGCCUGAGAGGGUGGACGGCCACAUUGGGACUGAGAUACGGCCCAGACUCCUACGGGAGGCAGCAGUGGGGAAUAUUGCACAAUGGGCGCAAGCCUGAUGCAGCGACGCCGCGUGGGGGAUGACGGCCUUCGGGUUGUAAACUCCUUUCAGCCAUGACGAAGCCCUUGUGGUGACGGUAGUGGUAGAAGAAGCACCGGCUAACUACGUG
rnacentral:rRNA from 1 species